rnacentral:rRNA from 1 species
CCCUUAGAUGUUCUGGGCGGCCCGCGCACUACAUUGGCACUGUCAGCAAGGGUCUGAAACUAAAACUUUUGGGUAUUCUGAGUACCGGUGUCGUGACUGGGAUUGACCCUUGCAAUUAUUGGUUAUGAACGAGGAAUUCCUUGUAAUCGCGGUUUAUCAGCCCGCGUUGAAUGCGUCCCUGCCCUUUGUACACACCGCCCGUCGCUCCUACCGAUGAAUCGUCCGGUGAAGUUCAUGGAGUAGUGGUUGUUCCAUCCGCUGUCGAAGUGAAAUAAACCUCAUGAUUUAGAGGAAGGAGAAGUCGUAACA